rnacentral:tRNA from 1 species
AAGUGAGAAGCAAACCUUGCAAUCAGUUUCGACCUGAUCUUAGAUAAAAUACUUAUCCUCACUUU